rfam:Myotis lucifugus cont2.30250, whole genome shotgun sequence.
GUGCUCACUUUGGUAGCACAUAUGUUAAAAUUGGAACCAUACAGAGAAGACUAGCAGGGCCCCUGUGCAAGGAUGACAUGCAAAUUUGUGGUGUUCCAUUUUUUGUU